rnacentral:rRNA from 1 species
CGGUAAUUCCAGCUCCCCGAGUGGUGAGGAUGAUUAUUGGGCCUAAAGCGUUCGUAGCCGGUUUGGCAAGUCUCCCGUUAAAUCUACCGAUUCAAUCGGUAGGCUGCGGGAAAUACUGCCAGACUAGGAGGCGGAAGAAGUCGGCGGUAGUCCCGGGGUAGGGGUAAAAUCCUAUAAUCCCGGGAGGACCACCAGUGGCGAAGGCGGCCGACCAGUACGCGCUCGACGGUGAGGGACGAAAGCUGGGGGAGCGAACCGGAUUAGAUACCCGGGUAGUCCCAGCCGUAAACGAUGCGGGCUAGGUGUUGGGAUGGCUACGUGCCGUUUCAGUGCCGCAGGGAAGCUGUUAAGCCCGCCGCCUGGGGAGUACGGCCGCAAGGCUGAAAUCUAAAGAGUCACAAGACACCAAACCGGUUGUCGACGAUUCUUCUGACAGCCAACUUAAAGGAAUUGGCGGGGGAGCCACCACAAGGGGUGAAGCCUGCGAAAGAAUUGGAGUCAACGCCGGGAAUCUUACCGGGGGCGACAGCAGAAGGAAGGCCAGACAGAAGGUCUUGCUGGACAAGUUGAGAGGAGGUGCAUGGCCGUCGUCAGUUCGUGCCGUGAGGUGUCCUGUUAAGUCAGGCAACGAGCGAGUCGCCUACCUGUAAUUGCCAUCGGAUCCCGUUGGGAUGCCGGGCACACUAAAGGGACCGCCGCCGAUAAGGCGGAGGAAGGAGGGGACCACGGCAGGUCAGUAUACCCCGAAUCCCUCGGGCCACACGCGGGUUGCAAUGGCGGAGACAAUGGGUUUCUACCCCGAAAGGGGGAGGUAAUGCCGAAAGUCCGUCUCAGUUGGGAUCGAGGGCUGUAACCCGUCCUCGUGAACAUGGAAUCCGUAGUAAUCGCGUGUCAUCAUCGCGCGGUGAAUACGUGCCCGCUCCUUGCACACACCGCCCGUCGCUCCACCCAAGUCGGGUUUGGGUGAGAACGCAGUCUUGGUGGCUGCCUCGAACCUAAGUUCGGUGAGGAGGGAGAAGUCGUAACAAGGUAACCAAG